UACGAAGGGGGCUAGCGUUGCCCGGAAUCACUGGGCGUAAAGCGCACGCAGGCGGACUCUUAAGUCGGUGGUGAAAUCCUGGAGCUCAACUCCAGAACUGCCUUCGAUACUGAGAGUCUUGAGUCCGGGAGAGGUGAGUGGAACUGCGAGUGUAGAGGUGAAAUUCGUAGAUAUUCGCAAGAACACCAGUGGCGAAGGCGGCUCACUGGCCCGGUACUGACGCUGAAGUGCGAAAGCGUGGGGAGCAAACAGG
rnacentral:rRNA from 1 species